GAUGAAGAACGUAGCGAAAUGCGAUACGUAGUGUGAAUUGCAGAAUUCAGUGAAUCAUCGAAUCUUUGAACGCACAUUGCACCUCUCGGUAUUCCGGGAGGUAUGCCUGUUCGAGCGUCAUUUGUACCCUCAAGCUCUGCUUGGUGUUGGGUGUUUGUUCCGCCUCUGUGUGUGAACUCGCCUCAAAACAAUUGGCAGCCGGCGUACUUGUUUCGGAGCGCAGCACAUUUUGCGAUCCAGAUCAACGUACAGCGGCAUCCAAGAAGCCUUAUUUAAAGCUCUUGACCUCGGAUCAGGUAGGGAUACCCGCUGAACUUAAGCAUAUCAAUAAGCGGAGGA
rnacentral:misc_RNA from 1 species